UACAGAGGUGGCAAGCGUUGUUCGGAAUUACUGGGCGUAAAGGGCGCGUAGGCGGCCUUCUAAGUCAGACGUGAAAUCCCCAGGCUUAACUUGGGAACUGCGUCUGAUACUGGGAGGCUUGAGUGCGGGAGAGGGAUGUGGAAUUCCAGGUGUAGCGGUGAAAUGCGUAGAUAUCUGGAGGAACACCGGUGGCGAAAGCGGCGCGCUGGACCACAACUGACGCUGAGGAACGAA
rnacentral:rRNA from 1 species